GACAACUCCACAGCUGUUUACCUGGGCAGAGGUUGUCGAUUCAAUCAUAACAUGUAUGUCAGUGGAUCAAAGUACAAGAGGAGUCAAUCCAGCUCUGUGCUGCUGCUCAAAGAAACGCCACUUCACUAAAUGUUACGCGGUGGGUUGUGGUUGUGCUGCCCCCUGAUGGACAGAGGCGGGACUGCAGGCCGACCUUUGAAUUACACAGCAGGGAGGUGGAUGAGGGUCCGAAAGACACACACAUGCACAAACAGGACCUAUACAUGCACAAAUUGGAGCGAUGUCAGAGUGGGGGGGGGUGCCCUUGGUGAGGCGCCCUGAGCGGUUGGGGGGUUCGGUGCCUUGCUCCGGUGCCCAGGAGUUGAACUGGCACCUCUCCAGCCACCAGUCCACGCUACAUAUUUUGGUCCAGACAGGGACUCGAACCGGCGACCCACCGGUUCCCAACCCAAGUCCCUAUGGACUGAGCUACUGCAGAGGGAGUAGGCCCUCCAAUGAAGUGUUGGGUGGAGAAUGGGCCCUUAUGAGUGAUUGCCAGCUUGUAAAUAUGCCUGUGUUCAAAGAAGAAUUGUCAUUAAUUAAAAACAGUGCCCAUCUCCAUUGUGUUUAUUUUUUCUUUUUUGUAAAAGAGUCAAAAGCAUCUGAAACAAAAUUAUAUGCUUCUUCUAUUACUGUAAAUCAACUUCAAAUCAAAUAUUCUAUGGCUAUAAAUAAAUUAUUAAAUAAACAAUUUCUUUGAUAUUUUUGUUAACUACAGUUAUGUAAUGAUGAUUGCUGGGUAAUAUGUAUGUUGAUGUAAUCCAAAAUCAAGUCACUGAUCAUGUGACAAGACAAUAUGUGCAUGAUAGUGUGCACUGUGAUCCAUAGUAACUACCUUACGGGACUGAGUUAAAUGCUCAGCUCUAGAUGUCUUGAGAUGACUCUCUCCCCACAUGCACAUAUCAUUUGCACUUUACCAUGUGAAGCAAGCUCUGUGUGUGUGUGAGAGAGAUAG